rnacentral:lncRNA from 1 species
GUUGCGAGCAAGCUGAAAGAUUGGUCUGAUUUGUUUUGAUCUCUGCUGCCAGGGGCCUUAGGGCAAUGUCAGCGAUCUACAACGUGGCGACAUGUCUCAGUCGCGUUGCAGCCGAAGCUGACCUGCCGGAGUUCCUCUGAGGCAAGGCUGGACACUGCAAUCAGGUAUUUAGAGCCUCCUCUUAAAAGACAGGGGAUUAAUUUUAAGAUGAUCAUCCUGAGGGCUGGCAAUAUGACUCAGUGGGUAAGAGCACUGACUGCUCUUAUGAAGGUCCUGAAUUCAAAUCCUAGCAACAUGGUGGCUCACAACCACCCGAAGUGAGAUCUAACACCCUCUUUUGGUGCGUCUGAAGUCAGCUACAGUGUACUUAUUUAUAAUAAUAAAUAAAUCUUAAAAACAUAAAAAAGAUCCUCCUG